rnacentral:rRNA from 1 species
UACGGAGGGCACAAACGUUGUUCGGAAUCACUGGGCAUAAAGCGCACGUAGGCGGCUCAUUAAGUCAAAUGUGAAAGCCCUCGGCUCAACCGAGGAACUGCAUUCGAUACUGGUGAGCUCGAGGAAGACAGGGGUGAGUGGAACUCCAGGUGGAACGGUGAAAUGUGUAGAUAUCUGGAGGAACACCGGUGGCGAAAGCGGCUCACUGGGUCUUCUCUGACGCUGAGGUGCGAAAGCCAGGGUAGCAAAC